GACGAACGCUGGCGGCGUGCCUAACACAUGCAAGUCAACUUGACUGAAGGAGCAAUCUGACAGUAGAGUGGCGCAAGGGUGCGUAACGCGUAAGUAACUUGCCCAAGGUAAGGAAUAACGUCGAGAAAUCGGCGCUAAUACCUCAUAAUGCAGCGGAUCCGCAUGGAUAUGUUGUUAAAGGUUUACCGCCUUGGGAUAGGCUUGCGUCUGAUUAGCUAGUUGGUGUGGUAACGGCACACCAAGGCUACGAUCAGUAACUGGUCUGAGAGGAUGAUCAGUCACACUGGAACUGAGACACGGUCCAGACUCCUACGGGAGGCAGCAGUGAGGAAUAUUGGGCAAUGCUCGAAAGAGUGACCCAGCAACGCCGCGUGGAGGAUGAAGGUAUUCUAUAUCGUAAACUCCUGUGAGAGCAGACGAAAGACAGAUUAUUAAUCUGGAUGACUGUAUGCUCAGAGGAAGCCCCGGCUAAC
rnacentral:rRNA from 1 species